rnacentral:rRNA from 1 species
AUUGAACGCUGGCGGCAUGCUUUACACAUGCAAGUCGAACGGCAGCGCGGGCUUCGGCCUGGCGGCGAGUGGCGAACGGGUGAGUAAUGCAUCGGAACGUGCCCAGUAGUGGGGGAUAGCCCGGCGAAAGCCGGAUUAAUACCGCAUACGACCUGAGGGUGAAAGCGGGGGACCGAAAGGCCUCGCGCUAUUGGAGCGGCCGAUGUCGGAUUAGCUAGUUGGUGGGGUAAAGGCUUACCAAGGCGACGAUCCGUAGCUGGUCUGAGAGGACGACCAGCCACACUGGGACUGAGACACGGCCCAGACUCCUACGGGAGGCAGCAGUGGGGAAUUUUGGACAAUGGGGGCAACCCUGAUCCAGCCAUGCCGCGUGCAGGAAGAAGGCCUUCGGGUUGUAAACCGCUUUUGUUCGGGAAGAAAUCCUCUGGGCUAAUACCCCGGGGGGAUGACGGUACCGGAAGAAUAAGCACCGGCUAACUACGU